rnacentral:rRNA from 1 species
UGGGUAACCUGCCUCAAAGAGGGGAAUAGCCUCCCGAAAGGGAGAUUAAUACCGCAUAAUAUGUUUUGGUCACAUGGCCUUAACAUCAAAGGAUUUCUUCGGAAAUUCACUUUGAGAUGGACCCGCGGCGCAUUAGCUAGUUGGUGAGGUAACGGCUCACCAAGGCGACGAUGCGUAGCCGACCUGAGAGGGUGAUCGGCCACAUUGGAACUGAGACACGGUCCAGACUCCUAGGGAGG